CUCCGGGCGUCGGCCUGU
rnacentral:snRNA from 1 species